UAGAUUGACAUGACUCUCGGCAAUGGAUAUCUUGGCUCUCGCAUCGAUGAAGAGCGCAGCGAAAUGCGAUACGUGGUGCGAAUUGCAGAAUCCCGCGAACCAUCGAGUCUUUGAACGCAAGUUGCGCCCGAGGCCAACCGGCCAAGGGCACGUCUGCCUGGGCGUCA
rnacentral:rRNA from 1 species